AGACUACAGUCAUCUAUUGUGUGCUACACUGAGCCUCUUUUCAUGCCAGAUAUGGUCUGGGGACCAGACCUGUUUGGACAUGGCUUGGGUGAGAAACUGGUUGCCUUUUCCAAAGAUGAUUUGGAUUUCAAGAGGAAAAUCACAGCAUCAGAGUUCCAAGCAAAGGGGCACUGUAGGCCAGCAAGACUGUGCAAAACUUAAAGCUGCAAAACAACCAGAAUUAAGUCUACCUGAGAACAUCGCUGGGAAGAAAAUUGAGGCCAUAUUGAAAUUGAACCUGUUUCUUCAACAAUAAAGAGGAAAUAAUGGCACUUAUUACAUGCCAUUAUUAAUGAGCCAAUGAAAUUCUCAGUCAAAAGCAAGGAAUCCCGGGAGGAGAGCCCAUAAAACUUACAUAUCACCUCAUACAGUGGACCCAACUGAAACCAACUUUUCCCUGCACAUUUCUGCCUGAAGUCAUUAACUAGGAUGGAGCUUGUAGGGCAACGCUUCUGGAGGCCAUAGUUCCUCGAUAGAGCAGAACACAGGCAGCAUUCACUGGG
rnacentral:lncRNA from 1 species